rnacentral:rRNA from 1 species
AAAGGAAUAGACGGGGGCCCGCACAAGCAGUGGAGUAUGUGGUUUAAUUCGAAGCAACGCGAAGAACCUUACCAGGGCUUGACAUCCUUCGACGAUGGUAGAGAUAUCAUUUUCCCUUCGGGGACGAAGAGACAGGUGGUGCAUGGUUGUCGUCAGCUCGUGUCGUGAGAUGUUAGGUUAAGUCCUGCAACGAGCGCAACCCCUAUCGUCAGUUGCCAUCAUUCAGUUGGGUACUCAGACGAGACUGCCGUUGACAAAACGGAGGAAGGUGGGGACGAUGUCAAAUCAUCAUGCCCUUUAUGUCCUGGGCUACACACGUACUACAAUGGCUGCAACAGAGGGCAGCGACACCGCGAGGUGCAGCGAAUCCCAAAAUGCAGUCUCAGUUCGGAUUGCAGGCUGAAACUCGCCUGCAUGAAGCAGGAAUUGCUAGUAAUGGCAGGUCAGCAUACUGCCGUGAAUACGUUCCCGGGCCUUGUACACACCGCCCGU